GACGAACGCUGGCGGCGUGCCUAAUACAUGCAAGUAGAACGCUGAAGAGAGGAGCUUGCUCUUCUUGGAUGAGUUGCGAACGGGUGAGUAACGCGUAGGUAACCUGCCUGGUAGUGGGGGAUAACUAUUGGAAACGAUAGCUAAUACCGCAUAAUAGUAGAUGUUGCAUGACAUUUGCUUAAAAGGUGCAAUUGCAUCACUACCAGAUGGACCUGCGUUGUAUUAGCUAGUUGGUGAGGUAACGGCUCACCAAGGCAACGAUACAUAGCCGACCUGAGAGGGUGAUCGGCCACACUGGGACUGAGACACGGCCCAGACUCCUACGGGAGGCAGCAGUAGGGAAUCUUCGGCAAUGGACGGAAGUCUGACCGAGCAACGCCGCGUGAGUGAAGAAGGUUUUCGGAUCGUAAAGCUCUGUUGUAAGAGAAGAACGAGUGUGAGAGUGGAAAGUUCACACUGUGACGUAUCUACCAGAAAG
rnacentral:rRNA from 1 species